GAUAAGGAAACCGUUAGACUCAUUCUGAAAGAAAACUUGAAUAUGAGAAAAGUGUCUGCAAAAAUUAUAUCAGGUAUUCUGAAGGAUGAACCUAAGCCUGGGAAACUUGACUGUCGGUCUGCUCUCUCAAAGGAAACUCGGAAAAAUAGCUCAUGGGUAAGGAGAAAGCUGACAAGUUCUGAAACAUGGACUCAUCUCCAGUGUGAAGCUGGUGGAGAAAUACCUCCGCCUGUAUCUCAUCCCCAGAACCACUUCCCUGCCAGCCAGCUUCUGCAGGCUUCGCCAUCAACAAGCCUUCCCGCCAGAGCAGCUCAGGACUGGUUCACACCAUGGUGAAGGGAUGUGAGGCAGCUGAGCCUGAGGUGGUAGAAAACCGCCACACAGUUAGGCACCUUCAUUUGCUGCUCCUCCAUUUCCAGUCUUUUCCAUUCCUUCCCACAUGUCACAGCCCUCUGAGUAACUCUUGCUGGACUGAUGGGCCAUCUCCCAAUUUUGAAGAACUUGGCUGUUGGCUUCUGCUACUUGCUUGUUCUAGAACUUUUGCUUAACAAGUUUGGAUCUCCUUGCUGCCCAGACCUUAGCUUGCGGUGGCUGUCCUGGUCCUGUGUUCUCAGCAUUCUGCCUCAGGGGAUCAUACCAUUAAAAGGUGGGAACAGGACCCCUGGAGUCUUUCUGUGCUCAGGAAGGCAUAUUCUUCUGGGAGGACCCCAAAAGAAGGCCUCCAGCUCCAGCCUGCUUCACAGGCAGGACCUGAGGAUUCAUGCAGUGAAACUUUUCCCAAGUGGAUUCCAAGGAAUACCACAUAGACUGGAGACAUCUCAGAAAUGCCUGAUGGAGGGCUGGAAUGAGCCUUCCAAAGACACUGGACCAAGACCAUGCUGGAGCAUAAGGUACCAGAAGCAAUGGUGGCCCAGACAGGGUUUGGACACAGCUACUGGAAGCAGGAUAGAAAUGCCUGUCGACGUGCCAAGCCCACCUCCUCCCAUACUGGGACACGCAGCAACAUGGAUGUACAUGGAAAUAUUUGGUGUUCUACGCUGAGAAUUCCACAGCAUAUCAUGAGUCAUCCUAAUGUUGUAACUUACAAAACUAAAGUUUGCAAAUGUUAUUUUGGUGGAAUCUGGAAUCACUGUGCUUUUUAUUUAGGUCUUCAGAGUAAUUGUGUUAUGGGAUUUUAAAGUGAGAGACGAUGUAGAUAAUGCCUGUCCACAGAUGAAAUUGCUGUUAUGCUGGGGAAAUAUGUCCGCUGUUGUUGCUUUAGCAAACUGCUGACCGUUAAAAUGCCAAAUAUAUCUCCUCAGUAAAAUUUCAGACUUUCAGUUGAGUAUGUAUAUCUUCUAUAGGCAUAUAGAUUAUAGAUUUGCCAAGCUGAGAGAGUUCUUCAAGACCGAAGUAUAGGCAUUGGUCUGUAGAAAGAAUGGAAGAGUGAGACGUGGAUGUUAGUUCUGGCUCCUUAAAAGACCACGUGACUUUGGGCAAUUCGUUUUGCACCCUUGGAGCACUCUAGCUUACUCAUCUGUAAAAGGAGAAUAAUUUCACUUAUCUCAUGGACUUGUUUGUUUUGUACAUUCAACAAAUGUUUCUUGACUGCGUAUGUGUAUCUGACAUGGUUCUAGACACUGAGGAUACAGCAAUAAAGGAGACAAAGGAAUGUUCCCCCUUUUGAACAUACAUUCAAGAGCAAGAAUAAUAUAGCAUGUUAGUGAUUAUUAGAUGUGAGGCUUACAUUAAAUAACGUAGAUGGUGCCCAGCACAAGGCUUGGCAUGUAGUACUCGAUAGUGAUUUCCUUUGUUUUUUGGGGUUUGUUUGUUUGGUUUGGUUUUAGAAAGAGAGAGUACAAGUGAGGGAGUGGGAUAGAAAGAGAGAGAGAAGAAUCUCAAGCAGGCUCAGGACCAAGAGGAGGGAGUGGGAGAGUGGGUUCAACUUGGGGCUCGACCCCAUAACCCUGAAAUCAUGACCUGAGCCAAAAUCAAGAGUCAGACCCUCAGCCAACUAAGCCACCAGGCACUUCUUCCUUUGCUUCUUUAGUCUUCCUAACGGCUCUUGAAUUAUUCUACAAAAUGGUAGUAAUUGGCAAAAAGCCUGACCCAGUGCCUUCUAGCUCUUAGCAGUUAAUAAGGCCUAAACCUGUUUUUGCUUAAGAAGACAAGUAAUUCUUACAGUUUUGUUUUGUACCUCCUUUAUGGCAGAAUAAUCAAGGUGUUACCUCAACACUGUUGACAAAUGGCCUUUUCUGAAGCCAGUUAGCAGGAGUCUUGCCUCGAGCUAGAUGGCAGGUGUUGGGUCCACAAAGACAAAUGAAUGGUGUCAUUGCUGUUUAAGUAAAACAUGCAGAGAUCACAAUGGCGGUUUCUGUUAAAGUUGUGUGCCCUAUGUCCCGUUGCUAAUACUGGUGAGCUGGGCAAAGUUUGCAUUAUUUAUGGGAGACCAGGUCAUUGACAAAAAACUGGGAAAAGGCAGGCUUAAUGCCUGUGGUAUGUUUAUAUUUCUGUCCCAUUGUGGAAAAUUUGGAAGGUUCAGGAAUGUUGGAAAACAGCAGCCAAAAGUUCACCCCUUGGGGUCAGGUACUUCACUAGACCCAUUUCUCUGUUUCCUCCAGAAACAUCCAGUGAACGUCCAUUUACUGAAUUUCUUCUUCAGGGCUGGGCCUGUGCUAGGCACAGCGGGGUACGGCCCUUGCUUUUAGGCUGUGCCUGGCCUCAUGGCAGAGAGACAGGGCCAGAGGUGGAGAGACAGCUCAGAAGGGGCUCCCACCUUCCACUGCCAGUCUUUCCCAGAGGACAACUGGAAGGAACAAGCUUGUACACAGAAUUUGGGGCAAAAAGUUAGAAUGAUCACACAUACGGCAAUUAUAGGAAUCAAAAAGUGGGGUACAGAGAGGCAAAACACAGAACAAUGGUGAGUGGCCUGCUGGCUGUCCCAUCCCGGGAUCCGGUGUGAGGUCUUGUCUCUCAGAAGAACCUGGAUGUUAGGCUGGAGGCCAGUACCCUAUACCUUGCUUUAAGGACCUACUAAGUGAAAAUUCAGAAUUACAACUCAGAUUAGAUGCAGAAAUUUGCCCAUGGAAGUUGAGUGGUUUUUCUUGAAUCACACAUCUAGCUGGUGGCAGAGCCAGGAUAAUAAUGAAGGACCUUGAAUUUCACUCAGUGCAGUGAGGUUUUUUCCAUUACUCCAUUAGUAAUUGCCUUUACUAAUAUGUGCAUUGUGAAGGUAUCUUUAAAAUAGCAGUCAAUGUUUGAUAAAUAUAUGACUUACCAACAGUUGAUUUAUAUGCAGUUUUUAAAGGAACAUACUUAUAGCAUAAAAGUAGGACAAAGGUUUUUCCAAGUUUCCUUCGGGUGUCCAGGCCCUUUGGUCCUUCUAUCAGAGGUGUGUGUUCAUAAGCAAAUGCUGGCAUUCUGUCAUUCAUUUUUUCCAGAUGUCCUUCUUGAGUAGUGUGUUGGGUUUUAUGUUUUUAAUAUUUCUUAUAUACAUUUUUUUAAAUCUGGACACAUAAAUCCUAAUAAAGUUCUCAACUAUCUCCUCUAUG
rnacentral:lncRNA from 1 species